UAACCACACGUACUGUUUUAACAGUAGAACACUUUGCAAAACAUAAUAACAUAGCAGCAAAUGUCUUCUUUUUUUAACAGAUCCAUGCUGUAUCAGGUUGGUACAACACUCUAUUUUAUGUUAUUAUGAACAUGACAGCAGUGAUAUGUUCCUUUCAUAAAUCCACUUAAUUUACUACAUGUGUUUUGCCCACCAGAUCUCAGAGGACCAAUCAGAGCCCUGCUACAGACCACACAAUCCACCAGGACGAAACUAACCAAAGGGAAUAUGCUUCCGUUCUUCAAGAUAAUGCCUGUCUCUAUGAAACAAUCAAAGGCCCCGAAGAACCUGCAAAUGAUGAAUCCAGGGAUGCAAUAUAUUCUGUGCUCGAGCUCAAAAACAUUUCUAAGAAGGGAGGAAAAAAUGAACCGGAGGAUUGUGUUUACUCACAUGUGCAGAUGGCGUCAGCUGCAGAUUUGAAUUCAGCAGCGUCUCUCAUAGUGAGUCCUGACAGUGGGCAGCACUUCACCAAAACGCCCGUGUCACUGAGCUGUGAGGGAAACUCCACUGAUAAACCAUCAUAACAUUUAUGUCAAAAACUGAGUUUCCAGUUUUGGGCAUUCUGGCUACGCAUCACUCAU